rnacentral:rRNA from 1 species
GGUUAAGCGACUAAGCGUACACGGUGGAUGCCCUGGCAGUCAGAGGCGAUGAAGGGCGUGCUAAUCUGCGAUAAGCGCCGGUAAGGUGAUAUGAACCGUUAUAACCGGCGAUACCCGAAUGGGGAAACCCAGUGUGACUCGUCACACUAUCAUUAACUGAAUCCAUAGGUUAAUGAGGCGAACCGGGGGAACUGAAACAUCUAAGUACCCCGAGGAAAAGAAAUCAACCGAGAUUCCCCCAGUAGCGGCGAGCGAACGGGGAGGAGCCCAGAGCCUGAAUCAGCAUGUGUGUUAGUGGAAGCGUCUGGAAAGGCGCGCGAUACAGGGUGACAGCCCCGUACACAAAAGCGCAUGUGUUGUGAGCUCGAUGAGUAGGGCGGGACACGUGGUAUCCUGUCUGAAUAUGGGGGGACCAUCCUCCAAGGCUAAAUACUCCUGACUGACCGAUAGUGAACCAGUACCGUGAGGGAAAGGCGAAAAGAACCCCGGCGAGGGGAGUGAAAAAGAACCUGAAACCGUGUACGUACAAGCAGUGGGAGCCCCACCACUAAGCCAGUGGUGAACUCCACAUACGCAUCCUUUGCUGAGGAUACGGUUAACGGAGCGAAAGCGACGUUCAACCGCAAAAGAAGCAGAGGGGGCUUAGUGGUGGGGUGACUGCGUACCUUUUGUAUAAUGGGUCAGCGACUUAUAUUCUGUAGCAAGGUUAACCGUAUAGGGGAGCCGUAGGGAAACCGAGUCUUAACCGGGCGUUAAGUUGCAGGGUAUAGACCCGAAACCCGGUGAUCUAGCCAUGGGCAGGUUGAAGGUUGGGUAACACUAACUGGAGGACCGAACCGACUAAUGUUGAAAAAUUAGCGGAUGACCUGUGGCUGGGGGUGAAAGGCCAAUCAAACCGGGAGAUAGCUGGUUCUCCCCGAAAGCUAUUUAGGUAGCGCCUCGUGAAUUCAUCUCCGGGGGUAGAGCACUGUUUCGGCUAGGGGGCCAUCCCGGCUUACCAACCCGAUGCAAACUGCGAAUACCGGAGAAUGUUAUCACGGGAGACACACGGCGGGUGCUAACGUCCGUCGUGAAGAGGGAAACAACCCAGACCGCCAGCUAAGGUCCCAAAGUCAUGGUUAAGUGGGAAACGAUGUGGGAAGGCCCAGACAGCCAGGAUGUUGGCUUAGAAGCAGCCAUCAUUUAAAGAAAGCGUAAUAGCUCACUGGUCGAGUCGGCCUGCGCGGAAGAUGUAACGGGGCUAAACCAUGCACCGAAGCUGCGGCAGCGACACUCAGGUGUUGUUGGGUAGGGGAGCGUUCUGUAAGCCUGUGAAGGUGUGUCGUGAGGCAUGCUGGAGGUAUCAGAAGUGCGAAUGCUGACAUAAGUAACGAUAAAGCGGGUGAAAAGCCCGCUCGCCGGAAGACCAAGGGUUCCUGUCCAACGUUAAUCGGGGCAGGGUGAGUCGACCCCUAAGGCGAGGCCGAAAGGCGUAGUCGAUGGGAAACGGGUUAAUAUUCCCGUACUUGGUGUUACUGCGAAGGGGGGACGGAGAAGGCUAUGUUGGCCGGGCGACGGUUGUCCCGGUUUAAGCGUGUAGGUGUGUGUUCCAGGUAAAUCCGGUUCACUUUAACACUGAGGCGUGAUGACGAGGCACUACGGUGCUGAAGCAACAAAUGCCCUGCUUCCAGGAAAAGCCUCUAAGCAUCAGGUAACAUCAAAUCGUACCCCAAACCGACACAGGUGGUCAGGUAGAGAAUACCAAGGCGCUUGAGAGAACUCGGGUGAAGGAACUAGGCAAAAUGGUGCCGUAACUUCGGGAGAAGGCACGCUGACACGUAGGUGAAGUGAUUUACUCAUGGAGCUGAAGUCAGUCGAAGAUACCAGCUGGCUGCAACUGUUUAUUAAAAACACAGCACUGUGCAAACACGAAAGUGGACGUAUACGGUGUGACGCCUGCCCGGUGCCGGAAGGUUAAUUGAUGGGGUCAGCGCAAGCGAAGCUCCUGAUCGAAGCCCCGGUAAACGGCGGCCGUAACUAUAACGGUCCUAAGGUAGCGAAAUUCCUUGUCGGGUAAGUUCCGACCUGCACGAAUGGCGUAAUGAUGGCCAGGCUGUCUCCACCCGAGACUCAGUGAAAUUGAACUCGCUGUGAAGAUGCAGUGUACCCGCGGCAAGACGGAAAGACCCCGUGAACCUUUACUAUAGCUUGACACUGAACAUUGAGCCUUGAUGUGUAGGAUAGGUGGGAGGCUUUGAAGCGUGGACGCCAGUCUGCGUGGAGCCGACCUUGAAAUACCACCCUUUAAUGUUUGAUGUUCUAACGUGGACCCGUUACCCGGGUUGCGGACAGUGUCUGGUGGGUAGUUUGACUGGGGCGGUCUCCUCCUAAAGAGUAACGGAGGAGCACGAAGGUUGGCUAAUCCUGGUCGGACAUCAGGAGGUUAGUGCAAUGGCAUAAGCCAGCUUGACUGCGAGCGUGACGGCGCGAGCAGGUGCGAAAGCAGGUCAUAGUGAUCCGGUGGUUCUGAAUGGAAGGGCCAUCGCUCAACGGAUAAAAGGUACUCCGGGGAUAACAGGCUGAUACCGCCCAAGAGUUCAUAUCGACGGCGGUGUUUGGCACCUCGAUGUCGGCUCAUCACAUCCUGGGGCUGAAGUAGGUCCCAAGGGUAUGGCUGUUCGCCAUUUAAAGUGGUACGCGAGCUGGGUUUAGAACGUCGUGAGACAGUUCGGUCCCUAUCUGCCGUGGGCGCUGGAGAACUGAGGGGGGCUGCUCCUAGUACGAGAGGACCGGAGUGGACGCAUCACUGGUGUUCGGGUUGUCAUGCCAAUGGCACUGCCCGGUAGCUAAAUGCGGAAGAGAUAAGUGCUGAAAGCAUCUAAGCACGAAACUUGCCCCGAGAUGAGUUCUCCCUGAGACUUAGAGUCUCCUGAAGGAACGUUGAAGACGACGACGUUGAUAGGCCGGGUGUGUAAGCGCAGCGAUGCGUUGAGCUAACCGGUACUAAUGAACCGUGAGGCUUAACCUU